GACGAACGCUGGCGACGUGCUUAACACAUGCAAGUCGAACGGAAAGGCCCUUCGGGGUACUCGAGUUGCGAACGGGUGAGUAACACGUGGGUGAUCUGCCCUGCACUUUGGGAUAAGCCUGGGAAACUGGGUCUAAUACCGAAUAGGACCACGCGCUUCAUGGUGUGUGGUGGAAAGCUUUUGCGGUGUGGGAUGGGCCCGCGGCCUAUCAGCUUGUUGGUGGGGUAAUGGCCUACCAAGGCGACGACGGGUAGCCGGCCUGAGAGGGUGACCGGCCACAAUGGGACUGAGAUACGGCCCAGACUCCUACGGGAGGCAGCAGUGGGGAAUAUUGCACAAUGGGCGCAAGCCUGAUGCAGCGACGCCGCGUGAGGGAUGACGGCCUUCGGGUUGUAAACCUCUUUCACCAGGGACGAAGCGUAAGUGACGGUACCUGGAGAAGAAGCACCGGCCAACUACGUG
rnacentral:rRNA from 1 species